rnacentral:tRNA from 1 species
GAGGUUGUAGCUCAGUGGUAGAGCCCGGGCUUAGCAUGCAGGAGGUUCUGGGUUCAAUCCCCAGUACCUCCU